GAUGAACGCUAGCUACAGGCUUAACACAUGCAAGUCGAGGGACCGGCGCACGGGUGCGUAACACGUAUCCAACCUGCCCUUUACUCGGGGAUAGCCUUUCGAAAGAACGAUUAAUACCCAAUAUAACGGAUGAGGAUGCGUUCCAGUAUAUUGUUGGUGAGGUAAAGGCUCACCAUGACUUCGAUGUAUAAGGGUUCUGAGAGGAAGGGCCCCCACAUUGGAACUGUGACACGUGCCAAACCCCUACGGGAGGCAGCAGUGAGGAAGAUGUGUCAAUGGGCGCUAGCCGGAACCAGCCAAGUAGCGUGAAGGAUGAAGGCUUAUGGGUCGUAAACUUCUUUUAUAUAAGAAUAUGUAUUAUAUGAAUAAGGAUCGGCUAACUCCGUGCCAGCAGCCGCGGUAAUAC
rnacentral:rRNA from 1 species